CCUACGGGUGACAGCAGUGGGGGAUAUUGCACAAUGGGGGAAACCCUGAUGCAGCGACGCCGCGUGUAGGAAGACGGUCCUCUGGAUUGUAAACUACUGUCCCCAGGGACGAAGAUGACGGUACCUGGGGAGGAAGCUCCGGCUAACUACGUGCCAGCAGCCGCGGUAAUACGUAGGGAGCGAGCGUUGUCCGGAAUUACUGGGUGAAAAGGGAGCGUAGGCGGGGAUGAAAGUUGGGUGUUAAAUCUACCGGCUCAACUGGGAGUCGCACUCAAAACUGCAGCUCUUGAGUGAAGUAGAGGCAGGCGGAAUUCCUAGUGUAGCGGUGAAAUGCGUAGAUAUUAGGAGGAACACCAGUGGCGAAGGCGGCCUGCUGGGCUUUUACUGACGCUGAAGCUCGAAAGUGUGGGGAGCAAACAGGAUUAGAUACCCUGGUAGUC
rnacentral:rRNA from 1 species